rnacentral:rRNA from 1 species
CCUACGGGUGGCAGCAGUGGGGAAUAUUGCACAAUGGGGGGAACCCUGAUGCAGCAACGCCGCGUGGGUGAAGAAGUACUCCGGUAUGUAAAGCACUGUCAGCAGGGAAGAAAAUGACGGUACCUGACCAAGAAGCCCCGGCUAACUACGUGCCAGCAACCGCGGUAAUACGUAGGGGGCAAGCGUUAUCCGGAUUUACUGGUGGGAAAGGGAGCGUAGACGGCAAGGCAAGUCUGGAGUGAAAGCCCGGGGCCCAACCACGGGACUGCAUUGGAAACUGUGUGGCUGGAGUGCAGGAGGGGUAAGCAGAAUUCCUAGUGUAGCGGUGAAAUGCGUAGAGAUUAGGAGGAACACCGGUGGCGAAGGCGGCUUACUGGACUGUAACUGACGUUGAGGCGCGAAGGCGUGGGGAGCAAACAGGAUUAGAUACCCGAGUAGUC